GACGAACGCUGGCGGCGUGCUUAACACAUGCAAGUCGAACGGUAAGGCCCUUCGGGGUACACGAGUGGCGAACGGGUGAGUAACACGUGGGUGAUCUGCCCUGCACUUCGGGAUAAGCCUGGGAAACUGGGUCUAAUACCGGAUAGGACCACUGCCUGCAUGGGUGGUGGUGGAAAGCUUUUGCGGUGUGGGAUGGGCCCGCGGGCCUAUCAGCUUGUUGGGGGGGUGAUGGCCUACCAAGGCGACGACGGGUAGCCGGCCUGGGAGGGUGACCGGGCACGCUGGGACUGGGAGACGGCCCAGACGCCUACGGGAGGCAGCAGUGGGGAAUAUUGCACAGUGGGCGCAAGCCUGAUGCAGCGACGCCGCGUGAGGGAUGACGGCCUUCGGGUUGUAAACCUCUUUCAGCACCGACGAAGCGCAAGUGACGGUAGGUGCAGAAGAAGGACCGGCCAACUACGUGCCAGCCGCCGCAGUAA
rnacentral:rRNA from 1 species